UACGAGGGGGGCGAGCGUUGUUCGGAAUUAUUGGGCGUAAAGGGUGCGUAGGCGGUUCGGUAAGUUUCGUGUGAAAUCUUCGGGCUCAACUCGAAGUCUGCACGAGAUACUGCCGGGCUUGAGUGUGGGAGAGGUGAGUGGAAUUUCCGGUGUAGCGGUGAAAUGCGUAGAUAUCAGGAAGAACACCCGUGGCUAAGGCGGUUCUCUAGUACGGUACUGACGCUGAGACGCGAAAGCGUGGGGAGCGAACAGG
rnacentral:rRNA from 1 species